UUCAGCGCGAACGCUGGCGGCGUGCCUAACACAUGCAAGUCGUGCGCAGGCUUGCUCCCUUUUGGGAGCGGGUGCUGAGCGGCAAACGGGUGAGUAACACGUGGGUAACCUACCCCCAGGAGGGGGAUAACCCCGGGAAACCGGGGCUAAUACCCCAUAAUGCCACCCGCCACUAAGGCGUGGUGGCCAAAGGGGGCCUCUGGCCUUUGGCCAUGCUCCCGCCUGGGGAUGGGCCCGCGGCCCAUCAGGUAGUUGGUGGGGUAACGGCCCACCAAGCCUAUGACGGGUAGCCGGCCUGAGAGGGUGGCCGGCCACAGCGGGACUGAGACACGGCCCGCACCCCUACGGGGGGCAGCAGUGGGGAAUCGUGGGCAAUGGGCGAAAGCCUGACCCCGCGACGCCGCGUGGGGGAAGAAGCCCUGCGGGGUGUAAACCCCUGUCGGGGGGGACGAAGCGGCUAUGGGUUAAUAGCCCAUAGUCGUGACGGUACCCCCAGAGGAAGGGACGGCUAACUACGUGCCAGCAGCCGCGGUAAUACGUAGGUCCCGAGCGUUGCGCGAAGUCACUGGGCGUAAAGCGUCCGCAGCCGGUCGGGUAAGCGGGAUGUCAAAGCCCACGGCUCAACCGUGGAAUGGCAUCCCGAACUGCCCGACUUGAGGCACGCCCGGGCAGGCGGAAUUCCCGGGGUAGCGGUGAAAUGCGUAGAUCUCGGGAGGAACACCGAAGGGGAAGCCAGCCUGCUGGGGCUGUCCUGACGGUCAGGGACGAAAGCCGGGGGAGCAAACCGGAUUAGAUACCCGGGUAGUCCCGGCCGUAAACCAUGGGCGCUAGGGCUUGUCCCUUUGGGGCAGGCUCGCAGCUAACGCGUUAAGCGCCCCGCCUGGGGAGUACGGGCGCAAGCCUGAAACUCAAAGGAAUUGGCGGGGGCCCGCACAACCGGUGGAGCGUCUGGUUCAAUUCGAUGCUAACCGAAGAACCUUACCCGGGCUUGACAUGCUGGGGAGACUCCGCGAAAGCGGAGUUGUGGAAGUCCCUAGGACUUCCCCCCAGCACAGGUGGUGCAUGGCCGUCGUCAGCUCGUGUCGUGAGAUGUUGGGUUA
rnacentral:rRNA from 1 species